rnacentral:rRNA from 1 species
UACGAAGGGGGCUAGCGUUGUUCGGAUUUACUGGGCGUAAAGCGCACGUAGGCGGACUAUUAAGUCAGGGGUGAAAUCCCGGGGCUCAACCCCGGAACUGCCUUUGAUACUGCGUGGCUCGGGUACUGGAGAGGAGACUGGAAUUUACGGUGUAGCAGUGAAAUGCGUAGAUAUCGUAAGGAAGACCAGUGGCGAAGGCGAGUCUCUGGACAGUUACCGACGCUGAGGCACGAAGGUCAGGGGGAGCAAACGGG